ncrna:Thermoanaerobacterium xylanolyticum LX-11 DTF1646 RNA
GGUUGAGCAAGAUUUUCUUGCUUCAAGAUUUUUGGCUUCUAGGGUGGGAAGCU